rnacentral:rRNA from 1 species
CAGCCGCCGUGGUAAUACGUAGGGUGCGAGCGUUAAUCGGAUUUACUGGGCGUAAAGCGUGCGCAGGCGGCCCGUUAAGACAGGUGUGAAAUCCCUGGGCUCAACCUAGGAAUUGCGCUUGUGACUGGCGGGCUCGAGUACGGUAGAGGGGGGUGGAAUUCCUGGUGUAGCAGUGAAAUGCGUAGAGAUCAGGAGGAACACCGAUGGCGAAGGCAGCCCCCUGGGCCUGUACUGACGCUCAUGCACGAAAGCGUGGGGAGCAAACAGGAUUAGAUACCCUGGUAGUCCACGCCCUAAACGAUGGGUACUAGCCGUUUGGUGCGCGAUAGCGCUGAGUGGCGAAGCUAACGCGUGAAGUACCCCGCCUGGGGAGUACGGCCGCAAGGUUGAAACUUAAAGGAAUUGGCGGG